UACGAAGGGUGCGAGCGUUAAUCGGAAUUACUGGGCGUAAAGCGUGCGCAGGCGGCUUUGCAAGACAGAUGUGAAAUCCCCGGGCUCAACCUGGGAACUGCGCUUGUGACUGCAAGGCUAGAGUACGGCAGAGGGGGAUGGAAUUCCGCGUGUAGCAGUGAAAUGCGUAGAUAUGCGGAGGAACACCGAUGGCGAAGGCAAUCCCCUGGGCCUGCACUGACGCUCAUGCACGAAAGCGUGGGGAGCAAACAGG
rnacentral:rRNA from 1 species